rnacentral:sRNA from 1 species
UGGUUACUGUCUGUAACUUUGUCUGUG